rnacentral:piRNA from 1 species
UAACCACACCCUGGUUUUGUGUAGCCGC